UGCGUAGGCAGCGAGCGUUGUUCGGAAUUACUGGGCGUAAAGAGUGUGUAGGCGGUGCUCUAAGUUCGGUGUGAAAUCUCCUGGCUCAACUGGGAGGGUGCGCCGGAAACUGGAGUGCUUGAGCGUGGGAGAGGAAAGCGGAAUUCCUGGUGUAGCGGUGAAAUGCGUAGAUAUCAGGAGGAACACCUGUGGUGUAGACGGCUUUCUGGACCAUAGCUGACGCUGAGACACGAAAGCGUGGGUAGCAAACAGG
rnacentral:rRNA from 1 species